UGUCAAAAAAAAAAAAAAAAAAAAAAAAAAAAAAACUCCAAAAAGUAAGUAAAGAGGAGGUUUGGAAUUAGAUAUUUGGUGUAUGAAUGAAUGGGCUAAAGUGCAAAAGAACAGGCAGAAUAACUGAGCUGGUACAGAGGAAAAAAAUCACACUUAAAAUCUAAAAAUAUCUGCUUCUCAAUUUGGGCUUUCCCACUUAGCAGCUUUGGCACCUUAGAAAGAACACUUAACUUACCUGAGCUUCUAUUACUUCUAAAAAGUGCAUAAAGUGCAGGCUAAGACAUAGUUUUUUGGCAAAAUUCAGUCAGACUACAUCAAGUAAACUCCCUAAGUCUCCUAGUAUAAUUCAUGGCACAAAAACUGGGGAAAAAACAGGGAGGAUAUGAUUAUAAGUUCAGUUUGUGUUUUUUGUUGAGUGAAUGUCUCCAGCCAUAGAGAUGCAAGUGUAGAUACACAGUAAGAGUAGUAUGAAUGGCAGACACCUUGGAAGGCUAUUUCUUCCUUCAUUCAUUCAGUUGGUCACUCAAUGAACUAUCAUGAAUUGAGCACUACCUCUGUUUCUUAUCAACAAAGGAGACUACGGAAAAGAAGAGUGACUAAGAUCUCUGAAGAAGGGAAAAGCUAGAUGACUGGGCCACAAGAGGAAAAAAAGCAGCAAGACAGAGAUUUGUUGGUGCCAACUAAAUGAGCCUAACAGCCAGUGACAACAGAACUGCACUAAAAAAAGUCCCUCAUCAGCUCUUGAGAGCAGGUUCCUUAAAGAGAAUGAGUAGCCACUGCACCUUGCCCUGGGCCAUCAGUGAGAAGAUCUGCUCUUAGUAGAGCCCUGCUUUCCCGCUGAAGGCCCUGAAAUCCCCUGUGUUCCAGGCCACCCACUAAGGAUCAGUAAAGCUCCCCUGAUGUGGGGGAAUUAGCGCAAGUGGUAGAGUGCUUGCUUAGCAUGCAAGAGGUAGUGGGAUCGAUGCCCACAUUCUCCAAACUUUAUUAUUUAGACCCUGGGUCUCCAAACACUCAGGUCUCCAAACCCAAGUCAGAGAGCAGGAUGCUGCUUUGGUUCAAGAUGUAGGAGCAGCAACAAUACAGGGCUGGUGACAGCUCCCUCCUGGCAUUCAGUAUAGUGUAGAUCUACCGUGUAAUUGAUUUUCUGCUUCUUUGAGGAGCUGUGAAACCAAGGGACAUAAACAAUUGCUCUUUUCUCCCUGUUUCUGCCUGUAGCUUGAAUGUGAGGCAACUGUGAAAAGUGCAGGGCAGAGCCACCUGGGUAAAUACAGCCCUGGCUUUCUGGUGAGAGGACUGAAACCAGGAUGUGUCAAGUAACUAGAAUGUGCCUGGACAGAUACUGUAGAAAGCAAACCCAUAAAGUUGUUCAUGAGCUUGUGGAUGCACCUGCCAGCUGUGAAUAAGUGGCUCUAAUCCCAAACAACUUACCUAAAAAGAGCCUGAGGACUGAACUGAACAAUGGUCCACUUUCCAGUCCUCACUGACCACUGGUUGCACACACUCCAGAGAUCUCUCAACCGCAGUGUCAAGGCUUUCAAAUAGAGUUAUCUGUGAAACGACAACACAUGGAAGUCUGGUUGGUACUUGGAGCUUAAAUACAAGGCAACUGUGUGCCUGCAAAAACAAAAAUAUCAAUAUUAUCCUUAAGAUUUCAACAAGACACAGUGUCUCAUCACAUAAUCCAAAGAAGUCCAGGUUACAAGCCCCAAAAUAUUCAGCAUUAUGAAAAACCAGGGAGAUCUUAACUCACAUGGCAAAGAGAAUCCUUGAAUAACAAUAUUGAGAGGACACAUAUGUCAAAAUCAUCUGACACAUACAUUAAAGCAGUUAUUAUAACAAUGCUCCUAGAAUUACGGGAUAGCAUUCAUGAAGUGAAUGGAAAGUUGGAAAGUCUCACCAAAUAUUUGGAAUAUGUAAACACCAAUUUAAACUUAAGAAUUAAAAAAAGUAUUAACCAAAACUAUUAGGGGAAAUAAAAUGCUUAAUUGGAUGAUCUCAAUAGCAGUAUGCAAAAGACUAAGGAAAGAGUCAAUGAACUUGAAAACAGAACAAGAAUACCUACAUAAUCUGACCUAUAGAAAGAAAGGAGGAUUUUAUUGUCCCUGAACAGAGGCUCAGGGACAAAUAAAAAAUAACAAAUCUAACAUUCACAUUAUUGUAAUCUGGAAACAUUCACAUUAUUGUAAGAGGACAAAGAGGUCUUUGUGGGAUAAAACUGUGAAGAAUUAAUGGCUGAAAAUAUAUCAAAUUUGUCAAAAGAUAUAAACCAGAUUUUUAAAGUUCAGUAAAUGUCAAGCAGGAUAAACCAAGAGAAACCCAUUGCAAGACAUAUCAUAAUCAAACUGCGGAAAAUUAAGAAAAUACAAAACAAUUUUGAAAGCAGCCAAAGGGAAAUAAAAGAUAAAAUACCAAAUGAAUGAUUGUAGAUUUCUCAUCAGGAACCCAGGAGCCAGAAAAAAAUGUCAUAACAUUCAGUAAGUACCAAAGGAAAAAUACAUUAUCAACCCAGAAUGGUAUGUGGAGCAAAAGUAUCUUCCAGACAUAAAGGCAAAUAAAUACAUUCUCAUUGGAAGGUAAAUAAAUACAUUCUCAGUCCUAGCAAAACUGCUGGAAAAGAAUUAGCAAAGGUUUGAGAUAAGAAAAGUGAUACCAGAAGGAAACUUAGAACAUCAUCAGUGAAGGAACAAAAGCAGAAAUAGAAAAUGUCUGGGUAGACAUAACAGACUAUUAUUCUUCUCUUGAGUUCCUUAAGAGAAUGAGUAGCCACUGCUGUUUGCCCUGGCCCAUCAAUGAGAAGAUCUGCUCUUAGAGCCCUGCUUUCCUGCUGAAGGCCCCGAAAUCACCUGUGUUCCAGGCCACCCGCUAACAAUAAAUAAUGCUCCCCUGAUGUGGGGAAUUAGCUCAAGUGGUAGAGCGCUUGCUUAGCAUGCAAGAGGUAGUGGGAUCGAUGCCCACAUUCUCCAAGCUUUAUUAUUUAGACAUCGUGUCUCCAAACACUCAGGUCUCCAAACCCAAGUUAGUGUCUGAGAACAGGAUGCUGCUUUGGUUCAAGACGUAGGAGCAGCAAUAAUAGAGGGCUGGUGAUGGCUCCCUCUUGGCAUUCAGUAUAGUGUAGAUCUACCAUGUAAUUAAUUCUCUGUUUCUUUGAGGAGCUGUGAAACCAAGGGACAUAUACAACUGCUCUUUUCUCCCUGUUUCUACCUGCAGCUUUGUCCUAAAUGUGAGACAAUUAUGAAAAGUGCAGGGCAGAGCCACUUGGGUAAAUACAGCCCCGGCUUUCUGCUCAGGGGACAGAGUUUGAGGCACUGCAGAGGAACCAGCCAAAGUAUGAGACCCAUAUGUUGAGAGUGACAGUGUAAAGUUCAAAAAAAUCAAAAUGUUUAAAGAUUUAUCAUGGGUCUUGAUGACAUGAUGGAAUCUCUCUACUCUCUGGACUGAUUAUGUGUGGUAAUAAAUUUACUUUUUAAAAGCCA